UUAUAAUAAAAUAAAUAUAGAAACCUUGAGGUUAAAAUGCUAUAAAUGGUAUGCCACUAAAACUUUCUUAAUUGAUAUGGUAAGUAUAUUUAUAUAUAUACAUUUGUGUGUGUGUGUGUGUGUGUGUAUGCAGGGCCGGAUUAACAUAGGGGCUGAUGGUGCUGGAGCUCCAGGCCCAGGCCCAUGGAAUAGGCCCAUAAA